rnacentral:rRNA from 1 species
GACGAACGCUGGCGGCGUGCUUAACACAUGCAAGUCGAACGGAAAGGCCCUGCUUUCGUGGGGUGCUCGAGUUGCUAACGGGUGAGUAACACGUGAGAAACCUGCCUUUGAUUUUGGGAUAACUUCUGGAAACUGGGGCAAAUAUGGGAUAGGAGCUCCUGUUGCGUGGGGGGGGUUGGAAAGUUUCGGCGGUUGGGCAUGGACUCGGGGCUUAUCAGGUUGUCGGUGGGGUAGUGGCUUACCAAGGCGUUGACCGGUAGCCGGCCUGAUAGGGUGACCGGCCACAUUGGGACGGAGACUCGGCGAGGCCGCCGUCGGGAAGAAGCAGUGAGGAAUAUUGGCCAAAGGGCGGGAGCCUGAGGCAGCGACGCCGCGUUCGGGAUGACAGCCUUCGGUUGGUAGCCCGGUUUCGCCUGGGACGAAGCGUGAGUGACGGUAAUGGGUAAAGAAGCACCGGCUAACUACGUG